GCGACGUUAGGAUCGAUCUGGUCGCUAGUUGUCACUGCACGCGCGAACGCGUCUCCCGAGCGCAUCGACCGUGUGCGUCGCCGAGGAGCGCCCCGGGGGCUAAGCUCCAUCUUGCCUUACGCCCGUCAAAUUGAAUCUUGAUACACUCGGUUGACCGCGGCUGUUGCCUCUAAUCCAACUCCUAUGGGACGAGAAUCUCAUCGUACCUCUCAUCGUACUAUGUAGCACGGAGGUCGAAAAUUUCUCAGGCGGCGGAUUUUGGUAUCUUCAGCUGCCUGCGCAUACACGGCACUUGCAGUACGUUCUAAAGUAUCGUCUAACGCGAGAGAGACAAAAAUUCGCGAUAUAAUGUCCCAAGAGAGGAUCUUGUUUAUCAAACAAAGAAAAAUAGUUUCGAAAUAGAUUUAAAAAUUUUAAAAACGUUAAUUUCCUAGCUCGAUUGUAGCAAGAGAAAGAUAAAAAAACGAGCACACAUAAAAAUGUUUUCAAUAGUACCAAAUUAAUAAUUUAUCUGAGAACUUUAGUAGAACGUAUCGAUUAUGCUUAAUCAUCCUCGGUCUUAUAAUAAUCUUGAUAAAUAUCAUUGCUUGAAAGAAAGAAUAAAAUUCGAUAAAUUUGAAAGAAUAAAAAUAGUAAUAAGUAACAAGCCACAUCCAGGUUAAAUAUAAAAUAUGUAACAUGUUUAAAAAUUGGUAACCAAGCUGCUUUGUUUGAAGUCUUCCAUGAUGAAGAAAAUUUUAAAAAUAAAUUAUUCCAAUAAAACUGUUUUCUUUGCUAAAAGCGAGAAAGAACGUAAUCAUGUAAAGCUAAAAAUCUCUGAUUAUGGAGUUGCCUAUAAAUUAAUGUCUCUCAAUUUUCUUUAUGUAAAAUUUACCCACGAAGAUUUAAUAUGUACGAUGUAUAUAUAUGAUGACUAUACCAGUGUCAAAUCAAGUUAAAGGGGCUUCUUACUCGCAACGCAUAUAAUGUUUCACUCAAAUUUACACAUCUGUAUAAAUAAUAGUAUUCGAUGUGCCAUCCCUGCAUAAUUAGGUAUUAUAUCUUCCCCAGGGAAAAUGUCUGCUCCAGAUCUCGAUUAAGGAAUUCAUCAGAAUGUAAUAAAUUAAGAAGAAUGAUGGUCCGAUGGUCUUGGAGAUAAAUCUCGCCAAACUUCGCCGUGGUAUGACUUAAUGUACCGAUCGCUGCGGUUACACGCGGAUUCCACGUGGAAUGUUCCAACGAAUGCAAAGGUGGUGUGUCCGCGUGUUGUUAGAUUGCAACGACCCGGGCAUCUUAAGCGCGCGAGUUUGUCUCGAACGUCUUCCGGGCCCUCUUCUCAAGGCUGUCGCUCCACCGUGGCUCGGUUCGGAUACCGUUAACCGGUGAGUUUUACCGGCCCGAAGACACGUAACCGUCUAAUAACAUUAAUAACGAGAAAUGCCUCGUAGGUGGCCGCGGACCGAGGGAGAUUUUCAUAGAUUGGUUCGAUCAGGGAAGAGUAUCGUGUGCCGUCGAAGUGUCAUUACGCGUAAGUACGGCAUGCAUCAUAUGAUUACGGCUGCGAUGUCAGGCAGUAAGGAAACGAUACUCCCAAGCGACUUCAAUUAAAUUACCCGUCGAUAUUGGCAACGGCGAAUAUUCAAUAUUCGCGCAGAGAUUGCAAGUUAUUAUCUCGACACGUACUUUACAGUGGGAGGAAUUACCUUUGUCGGAAAAGUCGGCGCCGCGCGAUCGAGUCCUCGCCGUUCCUCGAUUUUUCGACGGGUGGGUGAAAGCGCGCAAUUUUCUCCCACCUGCCGCGUAUCCCGAUCUCUUGCAUCGACUUUUCGAGGACAUCAAACAUUCAGAUAGGGGACAAGAAAAACUGGUAUUUAUGGCUUUUCAUUUACUUUUGCUAUACGGCACGUUAUGACGGAGAUUCCGGUCGUUCGUUCAAUCCCUUUGACGAAAAGCAAACGAAGAAGCAACCUGCUAACGCAAUACGGCAUAUUGCGCGGCGGCGGCUUCAAUGCAGCAGGUAACAACAAAGUCGCUUAACGUAAAGCGCUUGGGUAAAGGGAGGAAGUCGACGGCCACGACGAUGUGCAUUUAGCGGUCGGAAAGAGCAUUACCUAACACACGGCGCGAGAUUGGAUCUGCUUGCGCGGACGAGGACGAGGAAAAACGAGUGGAUGACUUCCUACAUAGAUAAAGAUCACCGUGGACGAGUAUCCUCUUUAACAGACGAGGUCAAGCCGGUCCUGUGCCCGGCAUUAUCCGAUUCCUUGAAUUAAUCGGAACAUUUGUCGAUGUGCCUUACCUGUAUCUCUCUUCGGAUGUAAUUCAAUAACAUUUCUCAAUGGCCGCGAAGCGAACAAAAAAAUCGAUAAAAAAAUCUGUCUAAUUUUACUUUUUUCCUCCCUUUGUGUAUUGACCUUACUCUUAACAUGUAUAAAGGAAAAAAGUAUAAUCGGAAAUGAUAGAAUGACCGAGUGCUCAUCCAUGAUUUGUAGCAUUUGAGCAGUUCACGCAUAUACACAGAGUUGUACUAUAUUUUGCAUGUUAAGUUAAAUAUGAAUAUUGCAAAUUUAGGUAAUUAAUUAGACGACUCAGCCACGGCAAGAAAUCGUAAAAUCUAGUAUCCAGGAUACAAGAAAUCGCUUCAAGAUCUCAGAGAAAAAAAUUGACCAAUCGCAUUCUUACAAUAUGAGCAACUGAUCAAUGUGAUUGGUUAGUUUCUUCUUCGUUUGAGAUCUCGGAGCGAUUUCUGGUAUCUCGGACACAAGGCUAACUUAACUGCUAUCGAGUGCAAUGUUCAAUGUUCCGAUGAACGUUAUUGCCACAUCGUGCCAUGCAAGGGCUUCAAUGAGCGCGCUGUCGCGGAAAGAAAGCAUCAAGACUGCCGGAAAGGGGAGGUAAAAAAAAGGGGGAGAGAAGGAAAUGUGGAGAGUGCAACAAACUGCGAAAUAUAAUAGGUCUGAGUUACGGCCGCGGCUGUGUGGUCCUGCUUUGACCCUCGGUCGCGCGAGGUAGUUAGCUUUGAGGCUUGACACGCGGUGCGUGACGUACGCAACACGGCCGAAGCCGCGGAGAAGAGCGAUGGUAGGUGGUGGUAUAAUGCGGCUUUCGCGAGCGCGAGGAGUCGCGUUUGUUCGCCCGACGAUGUUAACGCCAGAUCGGCUCGCGCUUUUAUUACCGUAAGAUACCUUAUCCGUGCCUCGCGCUAUCGCGAUGCGAUGCUGGUCGCUGAUCAACCUGCUGUUGCUGCUGCUGCUGCGUUUACGAGGGAACCUCUCGCUUGCACACCUAGAGGAUCUCUCAUCGCUUAAAUUAAGUUAUUUAACGGCGCACCGGAACACGAUGUUUAUUCUGUACUUAUACUCUGGACGAUAGUAACAGAUAAAUGUACGGAUUAGCAAAAAAAAUAUCAGGCUCUACAUAAUCUCUUAAUAAUAAAGAUAUAUCUAAAAUCAUAUUUACAAUAACAAAAA